AUUUAUUCUGUACCUUUGUCUUUGCCAGUAUAAGUACAUGGAAUCUGCUCCAUUUUUAAGAAUCUAGCCAGGAUUUAUCCACAGGGAAGAAUGCCAUCCUCCAUACAACAGAAUUUGGAAGUAAAGCCUAGUCACCCUCUUGGACUUCAGAGCUGAGCAACGUCCUGAUUUAUAGAGAUUUAUGAUUGAUACUUGGCACACGGGCCCUUUGUGUAUUGCUCUGCAGAAAACAGCCUAAAAGUGAACUUUCCAAGAGUUAUGUGGAGUUUUUCUUUGGUGGGAAUUCCAGUCUCUUUCCUCACCUGAGUGCCAGUCUGCAGAGAAGCAAUGUAACAAAGCAAGGUACAAAAUACAUACAAAAAGUUCUGCCAGAAGACAACUGCAUUACAUCUAUGAAAGCUUGUUUAAAAUGAUUGGCUGCUGAAAAAAUUUGGCCAAAAAUUUUAAUCAUAUCUCUGUUUACCAAAGUUAAAUGAAAAUUUCAAAGGAGAGCAAUCAAUAAGCAGAGAUAAAAGCUUCUCAAGACCAGCUUAAAGGAAGUCAUAAAAACACUCACUAAGCUCAAGUGCCUCCUAUCAGCAACCGCUGAUAAAAUAUUAAAAGAUUCGCCUUGUGGAAUGUAUCUGGAGACCCAUCCUGCUGAUGUACCAGACCAUGAUUGACAACUGUGAGACCUUGCUGGAAGCCACAAAAGUGUAGCUUUCACAUUGUGCUUAAG